GGAUGUGAGGGCGAUCUGGCUGCGACAUAGUCACCCCAUUGAUCGCCAGAGUUGAUUCGGCUGAUCUGGCUGGCUAGGCGGGUGUCCCCUUCCUCCCUCACUGCUCCAUGUGCGUCCUUCCCAGAGGAGCUUGGCCGGAAGAAGACAGCCUUCCCUGAAUAGAGACUGACUGGUCUUCAGUACAGGGUAUACAAGUAGUUGCACUCCCCCGCUAGAACUUCCAAACAAGCUCUCAAGAAUACACAAUAAUUAAAAGGUUAGUUUCACAUGUGUUGGUGUCAUACAUACAUACGAAGUUCUGGCACUACAU
rnacentral:snRNA from 1 species